GCAUGGGUUUGGAUUUAUGAUGGAUCCAUAAAUGAGGAUUCCCUGGGCCUCUCAUAGUACCCCAUGAGGCCGGAUUCCCUGGGCCUCUCAUAGUACCCCAUGCCAGAGCAAACUGUAGCCCUGAACCAUUGCCUGGCCUCUAUGCCCAUAGGCUGCUGGCACUGAAAUGGGUUGCACAGUA